AUUGAACGCUGGCGGCAUGCUUUACACAUGCAAGUCGAACGGUAACGGGCCUUCGGGUGCUGCCGAGUGGCGAACGGGUGAGUAAUGCAUCGGAACGUGCCCAGAGGUGGGGGGUAACGCAGCGAAAGCUGUGCUAAUACCGCAUGUGAUCUGAGGAUGAAAGCGGGGGACCAAGCAGCAAUGUUUGGCCUCGCGCCUCUGGAGCGGCCGAUGUCAGAUUAGGUAGUUGGUGGGGUAAAGGCCUACCAAGCCGACGAUCUGUAGCUGGUCUGAGAGGACGACCAGCCACACUGGGACUGAGACACGGCCCAGACUCCUACGGGAGGCAGCAGUGGGGAAUUUUGGACAAUGGGCGCAAGCCUGAUCCAGCAAUGCCGCGUGAGGGAAGAAGGCCUUCGGGUUGUAAACCGCUUUUGUACGGAACGAAAAGGCUCUGGCUAAUACCUGGGGCUGAUGACGGUACCGUAAGAAUAAGCACCGGCUAACUACGUG
rnacentral:rRNA from 1 species